rnacentral:rRNA from 1 species
UUCGCAAUGCCCGAAAGGGUAACGAAGCGACGCCGCGUGCGGGAAGAAGGCCUUCGGGUUGUAAACCGCUGUCGGGAGUUAAGAAAUGUAAGGAUGUUAAUAGCAUCUUUGCUUGACUAAGGCUCCGGAGGAAGCCACGGCUAACUCUGUGCCAGCAGCCGCGGUAAUACAGAGGCGGCAAGCGUUGUUCGGAAUUAUUGGGCGUAAAGAGCACGUAGGCGGCUAUGUAAGUCGGUUGUGAAAGCCUUCCGCUCAACGGGAGAACAGCAUCCGAUACUGCAUGGCUUGAGUGCGGGAGGGGAGAGUGGAACUUCUGGUGGAGCGGUGAAAUGCGUAGAUAUCAGAAGGAACGCCGGCGGCGAAAGCGGCUCUCUGGCCCAUAACUGACGCUGAGUGUGCGAAAGCUAGGAGAGCAAACGGGAUUAGAUACCCCGGUAGUCCUAGCCGUAAACGAUGGGCACUAAGUAGAGGGGUUUU